CUUGACCGAGCCCAACCACAGCGGCUCGUCGCGGUCCUGGCCGUAGGUGGACAGGAGUGCCUGCGCCUC
rnacentral:antisense_RNA from 1 species